rnacentral:tRNA from 2 species
GGCGCGUUCGUCUAGUGGUCUAGGACACCGCCCUCUCAAGGCGGAGAUCGCGGGUUCGAAUCCCGCACGCGCUA